rnacentral:rRNA from 1 species
UCUUUUUACAUGGUUGACCU